rnacentral:lncRNA from 1 species
AGCAACUGGAGGGGGUACUGACGUGACAGCAGCAGCACCGCCGAAGACACUUGAAUGACUGUUUCCAGGGGAGCCACGUUGCUCAUAGUACGAGUCGCUGUGUGCUCUGCAGCGGCUCUGUCUGGGUAGGAGAAGGCGUGAUGUCCACUUCCGGCCCCCGCUGACAAGAUCGGGCGUGAGGACUCUGGAGGAGAGUUGGAAGAGUCCAUCCAGGACCUUCAAGGCAUGAAUAAUCUGACGGUUCCUGAAUUGACGGGGAAAACAAACAUAUCAAGUGCCAUUUGAAGAGUGUGUCUACAUGUGUAAAACUUUUUCUCAUCAUAUAAACUUUUUCAUAAGAAGACAUUCCGAACAUCAAGAGUUUUGUAACUGAUGAAAAUU